rnacentral:rRNA from 1 species
CCUACGGGAGGCAGCAGUGGGGAAUAUUGGACAAUGGGGGCAACCCUGAUCCAGCCAUGCCGCGUGUGUGAAGAAGGCCCUCGGGUUGUAAAGCACUUUCAGUGGGGAAGAACGCCUGGUGGUUAAUACCCAUCAGGAAAGACAUCACUCACAGAAGAAGCACCGGCUAACUCCGUGCCAGCAGCCGCGGUAAUACGGAGGGUGCGAGCGUUAAUCGGAAUUACUGGGCGUAAAGCGCGCGUAGGUGGCUUGAUAAGCCGGUUGUGAAAGCCCCGGGCUCAACCUGGGAACGGCAUCCGGAACUGUCAAGCUAGAGUGCAGGAGAGGAAGGUAGAAUUCCCGGUGUAGCGGUGAAAUGCGUAGAGAGCGGGAGGAAUACCAGUGGCGAAGGCGGCCUUCUGGACUGACACUGACACUGAGGUGCGAAAGCGUGGGUAGCAAACAGGAUUAGAUACCCUAGUAGUC